rnacentral:rRNA from 1 species
UUAAAUUUAAAUUAUUUCUUAUAAAUAUUAGAAUUAACUUUAUUUUAUUAUUAUUUAGAAAAAUUAUUUAUAAUUAUAGUUUAUUAGUAGAGUGGUUGAAAUUUUUAAUUAUUUAAAAAGAAAAAUUUAUUUUUUGUACCUUGUGGAUCAGGGUUUAUUAAUUAAAAAUUAUAAAUUUAAUUUUCUCGAAUUUAAAAGAUUUAAUUAAUUAUUUAUUUAAAUGUUUAAAAAUUUUUUAAAAUAGUUAAUUGGAGGUGAAAUGCUAUUCGAUUUUAAAUAUAUCUAGUUUUUUAAGAAAAGAAUUUAAUUCUAUUAUUAUUUUUUAAGUUUUAUUUUUUAAUUCUUAAGUUUUAAUAUUAAAUAUUUAAUGGGAUGAGCUUUUAUGUAUAUUUUUAUAAUAGUAAAAUUUAUUUAUGUUUUGUAUAAUUUGAAUUGUUAAUCAUUAAUAAAUUAAUAUUUAGGCAUUUAAAUUUAAAGAUUUUUUUUUAUUUAAUUUUUUUAUUAAAAUUAUUCAUUUAAUUUAGUUUGUUUGUAAUUAUGAUAAAAUUAGUAAUAAUAAUUUAAUUUUGUUUAUUUAUGCAAGGUUAAUAAAAGGAAUUCGGCAAAAUUAUUUUCUGCCUGUUUAUUAAAAACAUGUCCUUUUGAUAAUAAUUUAAGGUCUAAUCUGCUCAGUGAGGAGUUAAAUAGCCGCAGUAUUUUGACUGUGCAAAGGUAGCGUGAUAAUUAGUCUCUUAAUUAGGGACUUGUAUGAAUGAUUGGACAAGAAAAUUUCUGUCUCUUUUUAAUUUUUUGUGAAUUUUAUUUUUAAGUUAAAAUGCUUAAAUAUUUGUAAAAGACGAGAAGACCCCAUAGAGUUUUAUUUUCAUAAGUUUUUAGAAUAAUAAUUAAAAUUGAAAAAUUAGUUGGGGUGACUAAAAGAUUUAAUUAACUCUUUUAAUUUAAAUCAUUGAUUUAUGAAUAUAAAGUCUAAUUUUUUUAAAUUUAAAUUAAAUUACCUUGGGGAUAACAGCGUAAUUUCUUUUUAGAGUUCUUAUCAAAUAAGAAGAUUGCGACCUCGAUGUUGGAUUAAAAUUUAUUUUAGGUGUAGAAGCUUAAAAAUUAAGUCUGUUCGACUUUUAUAAUUUUACAUGAUCUGAGUUUAAACCGGUGUAAGCCAGGUUGGUUUCUAUCUUUAUAAAAAUUUAAUAUUUUAGUACGAAAGGACCAAUUAUUAGAUAUAUUAUUUAUUUUUGAAUAAAAU